UACGUAGGGGGCCAGCGUUGCUCGGAAUUACUGGGCGUAAAGGGUUCGUAGGCGGUGCGGCAAGUUGGGAGUGAAAUCUCUGGGCUUAACUCAGGGGCUGCUUUCAAAACUGCCGCGCUCGAGUGCGAGAGAGGUCAGUGGAAUUGCAGGUGUAGCGGUGAAAUGCGUAGAUAUCUGCAGGAGCACCCGUGGCGAAGGCGGCUGACUGGAUCGCAACUGACGCUGAGGAACGAAAGCUAGGGGAGCAAACAGG
rnacentral:rRNA from 1 species